UUUGCGCAUGAUCCUGUUUAAAGGCUGAGACGUCUGCGUUUAGACAAUCAGGCUUCCCGCUGAUCAGCAAACAUUUAGUGCCUUGUGUCUUCCUGCGGCUCUUAUAGAGAUAUUACCACACGUGUUGGCGGAUUCAGACUUCUUUGUCUAACUGAAUGUCUUUCCUUGUGCCUGGGGGGACUUUCCCUUAGCAUGCCCACCUCCACCCAAGAUCCGCAAUGGGCAUCUCAUCGGAGGACGUGUAGCUCCCUAUCUCCCUGGGAUGACAGUCACCUACACUUGUGACCCAGGCUACCUGUUGGUGGGAAAAGCCUUCAUUUUCUGUAUGCACCAGGGAACCUGGAGCCAGUCUGAUCAGGAUUGCAAAGGGCCAUAUGAUGCUCUCAUAGUUGUUAAGUUUCAUGAAGGAUUUGCUGAGGUACUCUAGCAUCUUUAACACAGUGAUACAGAUGAAAAAUCUAAAGAAGGGAUUAUCCACUUACAUCCUCAAGAAAGCAACCUUCUUCAUCCUCAAACUCUACAAACAAAUCAGGAAAAUAACAGGUAUAUUUGGUCAUCAUCUCCAGUUCCUGUAAACACUGCAGAAUCUUAAAGUUGAAAUGGGUGUUUUUGUCAUGUAGAGACUUUUGAACCCUACCCAAGGGCAGGAGCUACAAACUGAAUCAGCCAAUUGCCAAUAAUUAAGUCAAUCAUGACUAUGGAAAGGAAGGCCUCACAACAACCCCUGAGAAGAACUUCUCUCUGUCUCUGCUGAGCUUGGUUGGAUCCUGCUUCGUGGCCAGAGAGCGCAUGUAUGCCUGGGGAACCAGAACGCCUCCCUGCUCCACCAAGCCAGGCCCCAAGCUCCAGGAGGAUAGAAGCUCCUUUAUGUGAGGCCUUGCCCUGUGUCUCUCUUCAUCUGGCUGUUAACUUGUAUCCUUUACCAUAUCCUUCAUCAAACUGGUAAAUGUUGAGUGUUUUGCUGAGUUGUGUGAGCCCCUCUGGCAAAUUAAUUGAACCUAAGUGGAAGGUCGUAGAACCUCCAGUUUGUAGCCAGUUUGUCAGAAGCACAGGUACUGCCUGGGGCUUGCGGCCAGCAUUUGGAGUAGGGGGUGGAGGGCAGUCUUGUAGGAUGUGGCCCUUUAUCUGGGAAUCCAGUGCUGUCUCUGGACAGAGGGCAUCAGAAUUGAGUUGAGUUCUUCAACACCCUGCUGGUGUUCGAGAAUUGCUUGGUGUAAGUACGUGUGGGAAGACCCCCCUCCCACAUACUUUCACACAUUGGAAUCAGGUGUGGGAACCCGAAUGAAGUUAUACUACUAUUACUGCUGGGUAUAAAACACCAUUGCAUUUGGUGUCUGAGGAGAGGGAUUCACACUGUUUUAAAAAGGCAUUAAACUAUUAUAGAGGAGAUGGCUUAAGACUAUUCAAGAGAAAUAUCAGAAAUAAAAUUAAGCUUUGGAUGCUUCCUAAGCUCUAUUUCAAAAGCAUUUUGUAUUAUGUUCUGUAUUAAAACAAUACUAAAAUUUAAAUAACAAUGAUUUUAUAAUAAAAAUAACUAGAUUACUUUCAUAUGGAUUCAGAAUACACUAAAAACUAAGAGAAGAUGAGUUUUAAGAGUUUAGCAAAUUAAUAAACAUGUAUUGACACAUUCUAAAUAAGUAGUCUGGAGUCUUCAGUGGAUUUACAUCUUUAUAGAUCAAAAUUUUAUUUGGCACAAUCUUCUCUAGAAAAUAUCAGUAACUUUCUGGAUACUUAACAACAAAUGUGUAUGUAACUACUACUACCUUCUUUGUAACUCUGGAUUUUAAUAGUUGCUUUUAAAGUGUAUUUUCACACAUUGACCUUGAUAAACAUAAAGAGUGAACUGGAUAUCAACUUGAUUUUCAAUUUAAAAUCAUGCAAGAUAGAAAACACAAACAACAUAGCAAUGUCAAUAGACAAAAUGGGAGAAAGAACUGCAACUUAUAUCACAAAGGGAAACCAGCUUAUUUAGAGAAUUAAAAAUUCAAAGACCAACCCUCCCCCCACCAAAAGGGCAAAGGACAACAUCCAGGUCACCAAAAGAAGAAAGGUAAAGAGUCCACAAAUACAUAAAUAGAAUCUCAAUGGUUUUGCUUAGUCGGUACUUUAGCAAAUCUCUAUUAUUUCUUGUGCUCCUAAAGAAGCAAAUUUUAGAGGAGGGUAUAAAUUAAUGCUUAGGAAUUGUCCUUCCUUAGAAUUAAAAUUACCCAUCACAAGAAAAAAUCAUGAAUUCCUAUUUUUACCGUCAGAGUGGAGUACGUCAGUGAGAAAUAUCUUGUGCCCUGUGGUUUUAUAAUUGCAAGAAAUCCAUGAGAUUUUUUUUCGUACUCUAUUACUUAUCUUUGGGGAUUAGUUAUAUUUUUACUAGGAAUAAAAUAUCGUAUUGCCUUACUUAACUUGUAUUACAGAGCAUUUCUGCUAACCUCUGGCCUUAUAUUUUUCAUCUGAAAAUCAGGGUCUGGACCAAUGGUCUCCAGAGCUAUUACCAUGCUAACAAUUCUAGCUUUGUUCUGUUUACCCCUUUGUACACUUGAGUGUGAAGUGUGAGUUAGUCUAGGUCUGUGACAUUUAAAUUUUCUGUCUCUACCAUUUUAAUGAGAAAAGAUAAAAGAUUUUCUUUGCAAAUCUGCUUAUGGAAUAUGGUUUGUAAUCUAUUUACUUUUUAGAACCUUCACAAGCUAAGAGGUAACAAAAUGGGAUUGUGUGCCUCUGAGACAUGCCCUCCUUUCUGUACUACAUUGGUCUCAGAAUCCCAGUGUAGGGUGUGGCAUAUCACAGUAAUGCUCUUGGCUGGUAACGGCUAAAUAUGAAGGUUAACUGGCUGGUAGGCUCUCACCAGGUGCAAAUAGAGAUGGCAUAACUCCCAGGACCAACAUAAAAGAGAUGGCUUAUCUAUCCUCUGUUUCGGCAUUCUUUCAGGUUUUCACAAAUACCUACUGUGAAAUUUAUCAUGAGAGUGGAAAGCCUUUUCUGAGAGCAUUCACAGGCCCAUUCAUGGUGCUAGUUCACCACUGAAAGUGUAAUGUAAAUAUACUAAUUUUGGAGACAGAGCCUCCUAAUACUGUUUUAAAUAAGUUGGCCCCUGUUUAAUGACAUCCCCACACACCUAUUGUCACCCAAAUGCCAUUCAUAAAGCCUUAAAGGAGAUCUAAUACACAGGUUAGAACCCAGGCAACAAACAUGCAUAUUCUCUUUCCUCUCUUCUUCUCUUUGGCAGUGUGACAAAAUCUUUCGGGGGAGUGGAGGAACUACUGGUUCACAAGCUCCUCAGGAGUUCCUCAGGUGUAAUCUGAAACUAUCUGACAAAAGGGAAGGGCAGUGAGUGGGGAAGAUGAGGCAGGCCACUCCAGGUUGGCAGGUGGCAGGUUUUAUAAGCAGGGGAUCUUAAUAGAAGGCUUGUGUCUUUGGUGGCUGCAAGCAGAGUGGAUCUCCAUACUUGCUUGCCACAUCUUAACAGUUUUAUAGAAGCCUUAACUGGACUCAGUCCUGUAUUAUUGUCCAGAUGGUCUCAACACCAUGUCACCAUCUCAAAGCUGUUCUUGAUGCAGGCUCUGGGAGCUGAGAAGGCAGGUGGAACUGACAUUCCAAGGACAGGAGGGGGUGAGGAUCCUCCUACAGCUGCGGCCCAGCUCUCUGGUCAUCUGGUGGUCACCUCUUCUGGAGGAUCUUCCUCAACAGGAACCAUUGUUUUUACUCCCUUACUUCACUCAAAGCCUUGACUCUUGAGUUCAGUUCCUGUCGGACCUUGGGAAGUUCACUGCCAGCACUCUCCCUUUGAACUCAGUCACUAAAAUAAUAUCAAGGCUAAGGGCUAGACAGGAGUUCUACUACAUAGGUCAGCUUGCAGUGCCUCAUUUAAUAAAGUUUUCUGUGCAGACAGUUGUUGUUUAUUCCUUUUAGACACAAAUCUCACUGUAUUUCUAGUGUCUAAAAUUAUUAAAACCAAAAUCUCUCAGAACUUUCCCAGCAUUUGGUAAAUCCAUGGGGUAGCAAUGGCUUAAGACAUGUUAAAUGCACUUGACAGCAAAACCCAUAAAUUUCAUUCAGUUUUUAAUAGGUAUUUAUUAUGCACAGGCCUAGAACUGUCUCAGCAGUGGAGAUACAGAACACUUUGUCCCUCCCUCAUGGAACUGGUCCAGAAAAACAGGUAAUUAGGCUCAGAACCUUUCAAAUGGAGCUUCAACUGGGUCAAAUCAAACUAAAUUCAUGAAAUCAAUAUGAAAGUCUUCAAUUACAUUAAGAAUGGCUUGAUGAACCCUAGGUGUAGAAAUUUCACUGGUUGAAAGUUCCAGUAAAACCUCAAUCACUGAUCUAAUGUAGUCCUUGAAAUUAGGAAACCAAACACUAGCCAUAUUUCUUUCCCUAUGUCUCAAGUUUUCUGAUGAGAAAAAUGUCAAUUCUAAGCUUAGAAAUAGAUGAAAAGUGUUUUUGAGGAUUAUUGAGGUGUAACUGACAUGUAACAUUGUGUACAGAUGGUUUUAGAGAACAACAGAUACCACAUUUUCUUAAGUAAGUGCAAACCCUGUGCCACAAACAUUUCCAAAAUAUCACAACUAUAAGAGAUCUGUCACAACUGUAAGAAUUCAGGUAAUCCCCACUCACUGUGUUUCCUUUCACUGUCUCCUUAAUGACAUCUCCUUCCAUUAAAUGUCACCACACCACAGUGUCUGAACUCUAAACUUUCAUUCACCUCCAGAUUAGUAUUUUUCUUCAGAGCUCUGCCAAGAUUUCAAACGUUGUGUUGGUUUCAGAUGAAGAGGGAAUUUCUUAGCUUGUUUAGCCCAGAACACCUUUAGCACACCCUGGAUAUAAAAUUGUUUAAAGUUUUGUCAGUUCUAGUGGAUGUAUUUGAGAUUUAUAUGGACAGAUUCCAUUUCCUCACCAUUCUUGCAUAUCUUAACCCUAUGGGACACAUGCGGUAUCCUCAACAUUCUAUAAACAAAAUAGCAGUUGAUACAGGUUGGAUUUUUAGAAUUUUUUCUUUAACUGAGUCCAAGAGUAACACACGAGUCAAUGUGGAAAACAAAAAGCACGAAGAAAAUGAAGUAGCCAUAAUCCUAUCAACCAUUAGUUAACUUUGGUGUAUUUCCAAUUAAUCUAUUUUAUAUUUAUCAAUAUACUUUUAUUCUAAUAAAAGGAAUGCCAGCAAUAGUGACUUUGAGACCUUUUUUCCAAUUACAAAUAUAUCAUUUCUCACAUUGGUAUUUCUUGUCACGUCUUGCUUGCAUAGAAUUUCAUCCCAUAAAGCCACCUAUCAAAAAUUCCUUAUACUUCUCCCAGACACUUAGAUUUCUAUUUUUGCAAAGUUCUUUGUUCACAUCUUUGAUGAUUUCUUUGGGAUAAAUAAAUGGAACAGUUGGAAUAAAAGUCAUAUCCAUUUAAAACUUUUAACAUCUGUAAAAGUUACGUUAAAAAUUAAAUGUCCGAUGGUGCUGGUCCUCCAUACCUUUACUCAUAUUGGUUGUUGCUAUCUUGAUUCUUUGCCAACGAAAAGGAAAAUGUCCACUCCUUGGGUUUGCUUUUAUUACUGGUCAUGUUUCUUUCUUUUUCUUAUAGUUCUACAGGGUUUCUCACAAGUCUUCAAAUACAUCUCGUUUGUUCUUAAUUUUCCAGCACUGAGACGUUGUUUCACCAGGGAAGUUCUCCUCCUUACCAAUUUCUACCCAUCCCAACAUUAAUGGCAUCUUUGUCCUUAAUGUUUGUCACGCAGGCAUUAUUUCCUCUUCAGGAAAACGUGUACUUGCUCAAGGGCAAGGGCCUCUUAGAGUUGACACUCAAUAUGUAAAUGACCUGGUGCUGUUUAAUAAUUGACGCGACCAGGAGGCCUCUCAGGGGAGGAAUGAGAGUAAUUCCCAUUAGGGGUUGGGAGGGCAGUGGCAAACCUUCUUUGGGAUUCUGAAACACAGCAGGGCAGGCCUUGAGAGGGCCACGGAAAUCACGUCUGGCAUUGAGUAGGGGCCCAGACAGUCCUGACAGUCUGGGGGACCCCAGGACAAACCUGGUCCCCGAGGGCCGCUAGCCCCGCACUGAUUCCCCUGCCUGGCUCUGGGUUUCUGUUCUCAGAUCGAUGAUUAUUGUUCUUCAAUCCAGAGCUCCGGAACAGGGACAAUGAGGACCUCGUCAGCUCUGGUUUCCUUCCCACCCUUCCGGAGGUGGGGCGGUGCCUAGGAACGCUAAGGUGGACUCGCCCUUCCCAGCCAGCCGCCGCUGGGCUUCCGGGAAGGUUUGCGGGGAGCGUGGCCUCACAAG